rnacentral:rRNA from 1 species
GUGCAGCAGGCGCGAAAACUCUACAAUGCAGGCAACUGCGAUAGGGGGACAUCGAGUGGCAUCCACCUUGGGUGCCUGUCCAACCGUCUAAAAAACGGUUGUUAGCAAGGGCCGGGUAAGACCGGUGCCAGCCGCCGCGGUAAUACCGGCGGCUCGAGUGGUGGCCGAUAUUAUUGAGUCUAAAGGGUCCGUAGCCGGCUUUGCAAGUCCCCUGGGAAAUCCAGCGGCUUAACCGUUGGGCUUUCAUGGGAUACUACAUUGCUUGGGACUGGGAGAGGUAGGAGGUACUCGGGGGGUAGGGGUGAAAUCCUGUAAUCCUCCGGGGACCACCGGUGGCGAAGGCGUCCUACCAGAACAGGUCCGACGGUGAGGGACGAAAGCUAGGGGCACGAACCGGAUUAGAUACCCGGGUAGUCCUAGCCGUAAACGAUGCCCGCUAGGUGUCACGACGGUCGUGAAUCGUCGUGGUGCCGUAGGGAAGCCGCGAAGCGGGCCACUUGGGAAGUACGGCCGCAAGGCUGAAACUUAAAGGAAUUGGCGGGGGAGCAC